ensembl:lncRNA novel transcript
AUUAGCCUCCUCAGCACCACAGCUGCAGCCAAGCUUAGAGUGAUCUGCAAAGCCAAGAUGUGAGUUUAGUGUUUAGUUGUGAUUAGAAAGCACAAGAAUAAAAGGCAAAAGAGCCCAAUGUAUAAUUUAUUUAUUUAUUUAUUUUGAGAUGGAGUCGUGAUCUGUCGCCCAGGCUGGAGUACAGUGGCAGGAUCUCGGCUCACUGUAACCUCCACCUCCUGGGUUCAAGCAAUUCUCCUGCCUCAGCCUCUUGAGUAGCUGGGAUUACAGGCAUCCGCCACCACACCCGGCUAAUUUUUGUAUUUUUAGUAGAGGCGGGGUUUCACCAUGUUGGUCAGGCUGGUCUUGAACACCUGACCUCAGGUGAUCCGCCUGCCUCGGCCUCCCAAAGUGCUGGGAUUACAGGCAUUAGCCACUGCUCCUGGCGGCUUUUUUUAUUUUUUGAGCUGUCACCGGGCUCUUGAGCUGCCCUCUGAACUCCACCCUGCAGGGCAGGCCAACAGAAGAGCUUUUUCUAAUUGACCCAGCCAAGGGAAGUGAGCCGAGACAGGGUCUUGCUGUUUCCCCCA